GGGAAUCUACCCUUUGCUACGGAAUAACUCAGGGAAACUUGUGCUAAUACCGUAUGUGCCCUUCGGGGGAAAGAUUUAUCGGCAAAGGAUGAGCCCGCGUUGGAUUAGCUAGUUGGUGAGGUAAAGGCUCACCAAGGCGACGAUCCAUAGCUGGUCUGAGAGGAUGAUCAGCCACACUGGGACUGAGACACGGCCCAGACUCCUACGGGAGGCAGCAGUGGGGAAUAUUGGACAAUGGGCGCAAGCCUGAUCCAGCCAUGCCGCGUGAGUGAUGAAGGCCCUAGGGUUGUAAAGCUCUUUCACCGGUGAAGAUAAUGACGGUAACCGGAGAAGAAGCCCCGGCUAACUUCGUGCCAGCAGCCGCGGUAAUACGAAGGGGGCUAGCGUUGUUCGGAUUUACUGGGCGUAAAGCGCACGUAGGCGGACUUUUAAGUCAGGGGUGAAAUCCCAGAGCUCAACUCUGGAACUGCCUUUGAUACUGGAAGUCUUGAGUAUGGUAGAGGUGAGUGGAAUUCCGAGU
rnacentral:rRNA from 1 species